rnacentral:rRNA from 1 species
AGCAGUCGCCACGGGAAUACGGAGGGUGCAAGCGUUACUCGGAAUCACUGGGCGUAAAGGACGCGUAGGCGGAUUAUCAAGUCUCUUGUGAAAUCUAACGGCUUAACCGUUAAACUGCUUGGGAAACUGAUAAUCUAGAGUAAGGGAGAGGCAGAUGGAAUUCUUGGUGUAGGGGUAAAAUCCGUAGAUAUCAAGAAGAAUACCUAUUGCGAAGGCGAUCUGCUGGAACUUAACUGACGCUAAUGCGUGAAAGCGUGGGGAGCAAACAGGAUUAGAUACCCGCGUAGUCCCUGUCUCUUAUAC